UGCAGCAGGGUGUAGUGGUUUGAAUGUUGGACUAUGACUCUGGAGACCAGGGUUCAAUUCCUAGUUCAGCCA